rnacentral:rRNA from 1 species
AAAUGAAAGAGUUUGAUCCUGGCUCAGAAUGAACGUUAAUGGUUAGCUUAACACAUGCAAGUUAAAGUUUAUUGUAUAAAUUAGCGCACGGGUGAGUAAUAUAUAGAAAUCAAUUUUGGAAUAUUGUUAAAUACACGUGAAGAUUAAAUCAUUCCUAUUUUUAAAGAGUCUAUAGAAGAUUAAGUUGUUGGUAAAUAAAAGCUUACCAAGCUUAUGAUCUUUAGCUGAUCUAUGCGGAUGAACAGCCACAUUGGAAAUGAGAACGAUCCAAACUUUAUUAAAAGGCAGCAGUGAGGGAUAUUGGGCAAUGAGCUACAGCUUGACCCAGCUAAACCAUAUAUGUGAACAAAGUGCUUAGCUGUAAAACAUACUAUUUAGAAAAUAAUGAUCAAUUAAAAAAGUCCUGGCAAAUUUCGUGCCAGCAGCCGCGGUAAAACGAGAAGGGCAAACGUUAUUCGAAUUGAUUGGGCGUAAAGAAUAUGUAGGUUGAAUAUCAAUUUUAUUUAAAAAUUUAAGAUUCAUUCUUAGAACUAAUUAGAAAACUGAUAUUCUAGAGUUUAAGUGAAGGUUAUAGAAUUUUAAAUGUAGCGGUAAAAUGUGUUGAUAUUUAAAGGAAUCUCAAUGGUGAAGACAAUAACUAAAAUUAAAACUGACACUGAGAUAUUAAAGUAUGGGUAGCAAAAGGGAUUAGAUACCCCUGUAGUCCAUACCCUGAACGAUGAGUGUUUAUUUUAUUAAUAAUAAAAUUUAGCUAACGCGCAAACACUCCGCCUGGGGACUAUGAUCGCAAGAUUAAAACUCAAAGGAAUUGACGGGGACCUGCACAAGCAGUGGAGCAUGUGGUUUAAAUCGACAAUACGCGCGAAAUCUUACCAAUUUUUGCAUAAUGUACAGGUGUUGCAUGGCUGUCGUCAGUCCGUGCUGUGAAGCGUUUGGUUCAUUCCAAUAAACGGACGAAACUCCCUUACAUUUUAGAAUGUAAAUUGUUGAGGAUAUCUCAAAGGAAGAUGGGAACGACGUCAAGUCUUCAUGACCCUUAUAAAUUGGGCUACUUUCAUGUGCUACAAUGAUUCUAUCAAUGAGAAGCAAUAUCGAAAGUUAGAGCAAAACUUUAAUUAAAAUCAAGUGCGGAUUAUUUUCUGAAAAUCGAAAAUAUGAAGUUGGAAUUGCUAGUAAUCGUAAAUAAGAAUGUUACGGUGAAUUAUGUUCUCAGGUCUUGUACACACCGCCCGUCACGCUAUGGAAAUUUGUUUUACUGGAAACUAAAUAAUAUUUAUUUAAAGUAAAAAAAGGACUGAAGUGAAGUCGUAACAAGGUAGCCGUAGGGGAACCUGUGGCUGGAUUAUUUAAUAA